CCUACGGGUGGCAGCAGUAGGGAAUAUUGCUCAAUGGGGGAAACCCUGAAGCAGCAACGCCGCGUGGAGGAUGAAGGUUUUCGGAUUGUAAACACCGUUUGGUAGAGAAGAGAAUGACGGUAGCUAACGAAUAAGCAACGGCUAACGCCGUGCCAGCAGCCGCGGUAAUAUGGAGGGUGCAAGCGUUACUCGGAAUCACUGGGCGUAAAGAGCGCGGAGGCGGGAUUGCAAGUCAGAUGUGAAAUCCUAUGGCUUAACCAUAGAACUGCAUUUGAAACUGUUAUUCUAGAGUAUGGGAGAGGUAGGUGUAAUUCUUGGUGUAGUGGUCAAAUCCGUAGAGAUC
rnacentral:rRNA from 1 species